AGGCGAAUCAGCUAUCGGAAGGUGGACUGAGAGUCCCAGCUGCUGCAAUUCCAAGUGUGAGAUGCUGUCCUGUACAGGAGAUGACCGGUAAGGGGACCUUAACCCUUGACUUGGUGUUGUCAGCACUACACUCUCCCAAGUGAGCCAUGGGCCGGCCCUGGGAAACAUGAUCUUAAGAUAAUAUUCAUAUCUCUAUCAUCUGGAAGCUACCUACCAAAUGGAGAGCAGCUCUUGGAGUGGCAGAACGCAGAGGAGGAGGGAGAUAGAAUCGGGCAAGACAAUUCACGGAUGAU